rnacentral:rRNA from 1 species
CACGUAGGGCGCAAGCGUUGUCCGGAAUUAUUGGGCGUAAAGAGCUCGUAGGUGGUCUGUUGCGUCCGCUGUGAAAACUCGGGGCUUAACCCCGAGCCUGCAGUGGAUACGGGCAGACUAGAGGUAGGUAGGGGAGAAUGGAAUUCCUGGUGUAGCGGUGAAAUGCGCAGAUAUCAGGAGGAACACCGGUGGCGAAGGCGGUUCUCUGGGCAGUAACUGACGCUGAGGAGCGAAAGCGUGGGGAGCGAACAGG